rnacentral:rRNA from 1 species
CCUACGGGUGGCAGCAGUGAGGAAUAUUGGUCAAUGGGCGCGAGCCUGAACCAGCCAAGUCGCGUGAGGGAAGACGGUCCUAUGGAUUGUAAACCUCGUUUGUCGGGGAGCAAAAGACGCCACGCGUGGCGUUCCGAGAGUACCCGAAGAAAAAGCAUCGCCUAACUCCGCGCCAGCAGCCGCGGUAAUACGGAGGAUGCGAGGGUUAUCCGGAUUUAUUGGGGUUAACGGGUGCGCAGGCGGAAGAUCAAGUCAGCGGGAAAAUUGAGAGGCUCAACCUCUUCGAGCCGUUGAAACUGGUUUUCUUGAGUGAGCGAGAAGUAUGCGGAAUGCGUGGUGUAGCGGUGAAAUGCAUAGAUAUCAGGCAGAACUCCGAUGGCGAAGGCAGCAUACCGGCGCUCAACUGACGCUCAUGCACGAAAGUGUGGGUAUCGAACAGGAUUAGAUACCCCUGUAGUC